rnacentral:rRNA from 1 species
AUGAGGGAGAUCCUCCACAUCCAGGGCGGCCAGUGCGGCAACCAGAUCGGGGCCAAGUUCUGGGAGGUGAUCUGCGACGAGCACGGCAUCGACCAGACGGGCAAGUACGCGGGCGACUCCGACCUCCAGCUCGAGCGCAUCAACGUCUACUACAACGAGGCCAGCGGCGGCCGCUACGUGCCCCGCGCCGUGCUCAUGGACCUCGAGCCCGGCACCAUGGACUCGCUCCGCUCCGGGCCCUACGGCCAGAUCUUCCGCCCCGACAACUUCGUCUUCGGCCAGUCCGGCGCCGGCAACAACUGGGCCAAGGGCCACUACACCGAGGGCGCCGAGCUCAUCGACUCCGUCCUCGACGUCGUCCGCAAGGAGGCCGAGAACUGCGACUGCCUCCAGGGAUUCCAGGUGUGCCACUCGCUGGGAGGAGGCACUGGCUCCGGAAUGGGUACCCUGCUCAUCUCCAAGAUCAGGGAGGAGUACCCUGACCGGAUGAUGAUGACAUUCUCGGUGUUCCCAUCGCCCAAGGUGUCUGAUACUGUUGUGGAGCCAUACAAUGCUACCCUCUCUGUGCACCAGCUUGUUGAGAAUGCGGAUGAGUGCAUGGUUCUUGAUAACGAGGCUCUCUACGACAUCUGCUUCCGGACGCUCAAGCUUACCACUCCCACCUUCGGUGAUCUGAACCACCUUAUCUCUGCAACCAUGAGUGGUGUUACCUGCUGUCUCCGCUUCCCUGGUCAGCUGAAUUCAGACCUCCGGAAGCUUGCUGUGAACCUGAUCCCAUUCCCACGUCUGCACUUCUUCAUGGUUGGAUUCGCACCGCUAACCUCGCGGGGUUCACAGAUGUACCGUGCCCUCACUGUGCCCGAGCUCACCCAGCAGAUGUGGGACUCAAAGAACAUGAUGUGCGCCGCUGACCCAAGGCACGGCCGCUACCUCACCGCCUCAGCCAUGUUCCGUGGGAAGAUGAGCACCAAGGAGGUGGACGAGCAGAUGCUGAACGUGCAGAACAAGAACUCAUCAUACUUCGUUGAGUGGAUCCCCAACAACGUCAAGUCGAGUGUCUGCGACAUCCCGCCCACUGGCCUGAAGAUGUCUUCCACAUUUGUCGGCAACUCCACAUCGAUCCAGGAGAUGUUCCGGCGCGUCAGCGAGCAGUUCACCGCCAUGUUCAGGAGGAAGGCCUUCUUGCACUGGUACACGGGCGAGGGCAUGGACGAGAUGGAGUUCACCGAGGCCGAGAGCAACAUGAACGACCUGGUGGCCGAGUACCAGCAGUACCAGGACGCGACGGUCGAGGAGGAAGAGGACUAUGAGGAUGAGCAGGAGGACGAGGAGGCCGCCUAA